CAACCCUCAAGCUCUGCUUGGUAUUGGGACUCGCGGUAACCACCCGCGUUCCCCAAAUCGAUUGGCGGUCACGUCGAGCUUCCAUAGCGUAGUAAUCAUACACCUCGUUACUGGUAAUCGUCGCGGCCACGCCGUAAAACCCCAACUUCUGAA
rnacentral:misc_RNA from 1 species